UUGGAGCAGCAUGGUGAGAGGCUGUUGAAUGCGGCUCUGUGUUGCCAGGUGCUGCCGGGACAGAUUUUCCCGUGGUAGCGGCAUUCCUCCAACAUGUGUCCCCCCACGGCCUCCUCUGCGGCCGCCCCCUCUCCACCGACACUCCGCCGCCGCAUAUAUGAACCAUGUGGGCCCGAAAGCUGCAAACACAUGGCGGAGGCGACAUGCAAAGCAGAGGGGGAAAGCCGGAUUAGGAUUAUAAAAAUAUGGAUUAUUAAAACCUCAAGCAUCGUAGCUGAAGCCCCUGCAGCCGGCCGGCCCUGCAGUGACUCGCAGCUCUCCAUGGCUGGUGGCCAGAGCCGACUGGGACAGCUUCCAGCCUCAGACGCUCUGUGAUUAACCCAGGAGCGGUCAAACUCUGCAGGACGCCCUCCACAACCAGCCGCUGCUAUUUAUCCACUUUCCAAUGAAACCAAUUACUUUUAGAGCUGGCCUCGGCGCCGACACUAUAUGUGUUGUUCGUGCAGACCAAUAGAGUAUGGGUGUGAAAGGAGAGGCAGACGUGAAGUAGGAAACCCUCCUGAGCUGCUUCAACAGGCUGUAAAAUAUACCUACAGUCAGUUUCCAUGGAGAGAGGGAGAAAGAGAGAGAGAGAGAGAGAGAGGCUUUAAUCACAAUCUAAGCGUUUUAAUAAUGACAUGAUUAUUUUUAUCUUCUGAUAGAAAAGCAACAUUUCAGAUUUUCUGUUGCCAAUGAUAAAUUAAAAAAGGAAGUAAUUCCAGUUUAAUUUUUUUUUUUUUUUGUACAUCGUGAGUGUAGAGCUUUAACAUCAACCUCUCUAAACCAGAAGUUAGAAGAUAGGGUUAUUAUUAGUUAAAGUAUUGUUUUUUUUUCUGAUGCAUGUUACUGUCUGCAUUACCUGUUGUGUCAGUGUUUAUGCACACAAAACAAAACAAAACAAAACACUUGAUGAUUAAGGUGUACAAAUCUGAAAAGGAGUGGAGAGAAGAACAUGCUUGUUUCCUCACUAUCUGCGUAUAAUACCUGUAGGUGAACACAUUGGACUGUCCAGCUGAUUUAAACGUUAGAAAGCUUCAUUUAUUUAUUUAUAAAGCCUUGAUUGGCAACAUGCCACCAAAUAUUACCUCCUUAUUAAAUGUGUCUCAGACCCUCUAUGUUGUGGUAAUUGGCGGAUGCUCUAUGAUGCCGAGGUCAGACAUUAUAACCACGCCUUUAGUCCGACCAGGCAGAUGUUGGUCUUCUGGACCCGUCGACCCCUAAAACACAGUGUCACAGUGAGCAACCAUCAAUUCUACAUAUCGCACCUCGAAGUAGGACUGAUGUCUGUUGAAUAUCUGCACAGUUACUAAAAGCUCAAACUUUGAAAAGUUGAACUUUGCGCCCUCUGUGGACAAAGUGAUCAUCCUCCUUUGUCCCUGUUCUCCUGUUCAUACACUGAGAAUGUUUUCUGACAAAAAUCAAACAUGCUGUGUUUUAAACAAUUAAACGUAUAACUCAUUGUGAAGAUAUGCUGAAAAAGGUGUAAAAUAAAAAAAAAGUCAUAGUGUCAGUCUUGUUGCUGAUCAUCUGGUUUGCAUUAGAAGAAUAAGUGUUAAUUUCUGUCACUUUGAUAAUGUUAUUAAAACUCCUCAGCUUGUGUACUUUCUCCACCUUCUCUGCACAGGAUUGUUCACACUGACAUCACCGCCUGACAGAAAAUGUUAUCGUGUUUAACGCACGUUUUGAUAUUUGAUGAAAGCCUGUAGGAGGGCUCUUUAAUCGAGGCGACAUCAUAUCACGCUGAGAGCUGUUUCAGGCCUUAUCAGUCUAAUCAACGUCUUGUAAAAGUGGAGUUAUUAGGUUACUGGCUGUCAAGUGAUGCAGAAAGCAGCUGGCUCAGCUCAUAAAGCACUCAUAAGCCCAAUCACUGCUCAGGCUAAUUGACAGCCACACGGAGAGGGAGUAGCUAAUUGAUUAUAGGCUUGUCCUAUUCCAACACACCAGGGGACUGAUGGGAAAAAGAGACUCAGGAAUAUUUUUUUUGUGUUUGAGGGUCUGCAUUUGAAUUUCUGCUUCUCAUAAGUCGUCAGUCUUGAAAAUUUGAUCUGGAAAAUACCUCUAAGUUCACACUUAUGCUUAUGAACAGUCGAGUUUGUUGUGUGUUUUUUAAACGCCCAAAAUAAAGAUAUGCAACCUUCAUCUCCUCCAGGAAUGUUUCAAACAUUGCAGGCAGCCUUGAGGCAGAAACAUAAAACUGAAAGUUAUUGUUGUUUCCUUUGUUCAUGUGUGGAGCGACGAGCUCUUCAGCUGCACUAAAGAUCAGAAGAAACUGUCUGUGUGUCAGAGAAAGGAAAUGUAACAGACGUUUUUUGUAGCAUACAUGUUUUGAUCAUUAAAAUUCUGUUAAUGUGAAA